rnacentral:rRNA from 1 species
GGGACGUUGACCUCUAGAGAAGAGCUUCCCCUUCGGGGGCAAAGUGACAGGUGGUGCAUGGUUGUCGUCAGCUCGUGUCGUGAGAUGUUGGGUUAAGUCCCGCAACGAGCGCAACCCUUAUUGUUAGUUGCCAUCAUUCAGUUGGGCACUCUAGCAAGACUGCCGGUGACAAACCGGAGGAAGGUGGGGAUGACGUCAAAUCAUCAUGCCCCUUAUGACCUGGGCUACACACGUGCUACAAUGGGAAGUACAACGAGUUGCGAAGUCGCGAGGCUAAGCUAAUCUCUUAAAGCUUCUCUCAGUUCGGAUUGCAGGCUGCAACUCGCCUGCAUGAAGCCGGAAUCGCUAGUAAUCGCGGAUCAGCACGCCGCGGUGAAUACGUUCCCGGGUCUGUAAACACACCGAAC